rnacentral:rRNA from 1 species
CCCGCUGAACUUAAGCAUAUCAAUAAGCGGAGGAAAAGAAACCAACAGGGAUUGCCUCAGUAACGGCGAGUGAAGCGGCAACAGCUCAAAUUUGAAAGCUGGCUCUUUUAGGGCCCGCGUUGUAAUUUGUAGAGGAUGCUUCGGGUGCGGCGCUGGUCUAAGUUCUUUGGAACAAGACGUCAUAGAGGGUGAGAAUCCCGUAUGUGACUGGCUGCCUGUGCCUGUGUGAAGCUCCUUCGACGAGUCGAGUUGUUUGGGAAUGCAGCUCAAAAUGGGUGGUGUACUUCAUCUAAAGCUAAAUAUUGGCCAGAGACCGAUAGCGCACAAGUAGAGUGAUCGAAAGAUGAAAAGCACUUUGGAAAGAGAGUUAAACAGUACGUGAAAUUGUUGAAAGGGAAGCGCUUGCAAUCAGACUUGCACGUAGUUGAUCAUCCGGGGUUCUCCCCGGUGCACUUGGCUACGUUCAGGCCAGUAUCGGUUUCGGUGGUUGGAUAAAGGCCUAGGGAAUGUGGCUCUCUUCGGGGAGUGUUAUAGCCCUAGGUGCAAUGCAGCCUACUGGGACCGAGGACCGCGCUCCGGCUAGGAUGCUGGCGUAAUGGUUGUCAGCGACCCGUCUUGAAACACCGG